CGGGCCCUGGGCGGGGCCUUCCCGGCUGACGGCCUGCGUGCACUGCGCUUGCGCGGGUUGAGGGCGGUGGCUCAGGCUCCUGGAAAGGACCGUCCACCCCUCCGCGCUGGCGGUGUGGACGCGGAACUCAGCGGAGAAACGCGAUUGAGGUUGGAGAAAAAGUCUUCCCCAUCUGGAGAUGACAGUUGAUGCUUUAUUUGGAAAGCAGUGUGCAUAUCUUGAGGGGUGAUGAACACAAGCAAACCAAGUUGCACCUGGCUUCUGCACACUCCUGCGAAAGUCGGUGAACAUUCACUCCACAUUGACCCCUCCCUAGCCUGGCAGGUGACGUCAGGGUCCUUCACAGACAAACACGCUUGGGCUCGGCAGGAGCUGCCGUGGCCACCCCCGCUGCCCAGUGUCUGCCCUCUAGAAGUAGGCUGUGUUUCCAGGUGUUCACCCGUGGUGCCCACAGUGCCGACCCGUGGCUGGGUCGGAGCUCCAUGUUCCUAAGCUAGGUCUAGGUCUACACUCCUAGGACGCACGCAUAUCAGCCCGUGUACCCUGUGACAGUGACUGUCCCCACCUCCUAUGUUAGUGGUGCCCUUACUGCCGUCGCUCAUCCACUCGUGUGGGACGUAGGAUUGCACAGGGCUGUGCCAGUGGCGUGUAGGGAACACUGCCCUGGCUCAGCGUGCGAGCUAAGGUGGUGAUGUAUGCGAUGGGACUCUGCAUGGGAUAGUACAGUUGUGUAGACGUCUUCCAAAUAAAUUAUGUGUUGGUCCAUCGCACAUGCUCAAUAAAUAUUUUUAAAUGAGUGAAUGUC
rnacentral:lncRNA from 10 species